rnacentral:misc_RNA from 1 species
GGAAGUAAAAAUCGUAACAAGGUUUCCGUAGGUGAACCUGCGGAAGGAUCAUUAUCGUACAAAAUGUGAGGGGCAUGCGAGGGCUGUCGCUGAUCCAAAAGUCGUGCACGCCCGAGUGUGUCCUCUUGCAUAAUAAUCCAUCUCACCCUUUGUGCAUCACCGCGUGGGCACCCUUCGGGAUCAUCUCGGAGGGGGGCUCGCGUUUUCACACAAACCCCCCUUUUAAAAGUGUAGAAUGACCACAUUUAUGCAAUCAAUACAACUUUCAACAACGGAUCUCUUGGCUCUC